rnacentral:rRNA from 1 species
UGACCGCUGGCGGCAUGCUUUCCACAUGCACGUCGAACGGUAACAGGCCUUCGGGUGCUGACGAGUGGCGAACGGGUGAGUAAUGCAUCGGAACGUGCCCAGAGGUGGGGGAUAACGCAGCGAAAGCUGUGCUAAUACCGCAUGUGAUCUGAGGAUGAAAGCGGGGGACCAGGCAGCAAUGUUUGGCCUCGCGCCUUUGGAGCGGCCGAUGUCAGAUUAGGUAGUUGGUGGGGUAAAGGCCUACCAAGCCGACGAUCUGUAGCUGGUCUGAGAGGACGACCAGCCACACUGGGACUGAGACACGGCCCAGACUCCUACGGGAGGCAGCAGUGGGGAAUUUUGGACAAUGGGCGCAAGCCUGAUCCAGCAAUGCCGCGUGCGGGAAGAAGGCCUUCGGGUUGUAAACCGCUUUUGUACGGAACGAAAAGGCUCUGGCUAAUACCUGGGGCUGAUGACGGUACCGUAAGAAUAAGCACCGGCUAACUACGUG